rnacentral:rRNA from 1 species
ACAAGUACCGUGAGGGAAAGUUGCAAAGCACUUUGAAGAGAGAGUUAAAGAGGACGUGAAACCGAUGAGAUCGAAACGGAUAGAGUCAGCGUAUCUGACCUGUAUUCAGCCAUCCAAUUGUCAGUCGUCAUAUGUGUUGAUUUCCAGACUGGGACAGUGUGUGGCUAGCUGAUUGUUGUGUGGUGCAUUUGCAAGUGGAGUGCGUCGAGGCGCUCGGUGUGGCGACAUGAGCUCGGUUUUGAGGCCAGCUUGCUUUGGACCAAAAACCCAAAUUGGAGGAAUGUUGUUCACGCUGUGUGGAAUUGGCAAGGCCUACGAGUCCGGUUGGGCAUCGAGCUGGCAGUCGGCGUCGGUCGCAUGCGACACGUGCUGUGCAGUCAGUUCGGUCCUAGUCGAGCUCACAAGCAUAUUCUCGGCGUAAAAGCUGGUCAUCUAUCCGACCCGUCUUGAAACACGGACCAAGGAGUUUAUCGUGUGCGCAAGUCAUUGGGCGUUGAAACCCAAAGGCGCAAUGAAAGUGAACUCCUCCACAAGGAGCUGACGUGCGAUCCCGGGUACUGCGGUGUCCGGGCGCAGCAUGGCCCCAUCCCGAUUGCUUGCAAUGGGGUGGAGGAAGAGCGUACGCGGUGAGACCCGAAAGAUGGUGAACUAUUCCUGAGCAGGAUGAAGCCAGAGGAAACUCUGGUGGAAGUCCGAAGCAAUUCUGACGUGCAAAUCGAUCGUCUGACUUGGGUAUAGGGGCGAAAGACUAAUCGAACCAUCUAGUAGCUGGUUCCUUCCGA